GCCUCAUUUUAGAAUUUGAGGUAUUGCCUGCUCAAUGCGAAAGUAAAUAGCCGCAGUACUCUGACUGUGCAAAGGUAGCAUAAUAAAUUGGCCUUUAAUUGAGGUCUGGAAUGAAUGGCUUGACAAGGGUUUGACUGUCUCAGGAUUAAAAGUUUUGAAAUUGAAUUGUUUGUAAAAAUGCGAACAUGAGAGAGAGGGACGAGAAGACCCUAUAGAUCUUUUCAAUGGACUGUCGAUUAAAAGUUUAAUGGAAAAAUUGGUAGUUCAUUUUAUUUGGGGAAAAUCCUGAAAUUUGAACUUUGGUUAAGGUUCUAAAAAUUGUAAUGAUUGACUUUUGAUCCACAAAUGGGUGAAAAAAUGAAAAAGUUACCUUAGGGAUAACAGGACAAUGAUUUUCUAGGAGGCCUUAUCUUAGGAGACGUUUGUUACCUCGAUGUUGAAUUAAGUUAUCUUAUUAAAGGAGAAAUUCUUAGAGUUGGUCUGUUCGACCAUUAAAAAC
rnacentral:rRNA from 1 species